rnacentral:rRNA from 1 species
UACGAAGGGGGCUAGCGUUGUUCGGAAUUACUGGGCGUAAAGCGCACGUAGGCGGAUUGUUAAGUUAGGGGUGAAAUCCCAGGGCUCAACCCCUGGAACUGCCUUUAAUACUGGCAAUCUCGAGUCCGAGAGAGGUGAGUGGAAUUCCGAGUGUAGAGGUGAAAUUCGUAGAUAUUCGGAGGAACACCAGUGGCGAAGGCGGCUCACUGGCUCGGUACUGACGCUGAGGUGCGAAAGCGUGGGGAGCAAACAGGG